UCUUAGCUCAGUUGGUAGAGCAGUAGACUCUUAAUCUAUUUGUCCAGGGUUCGAGCCCCUGA
rnacentral:tRNA from 2 species